UACGGAGGGUGCAAGCGUUAUCCGGAAUCACUGGGUUUAAAGGGUGCGUAGGCGGCCUUGUAAGUCAGUCGUGAAAUCGCUGGGCUCAACCCAUGCAAUUGCGAUUGAUACUGCGAGACUUGAAUGGGGUUUAGGCAGGCGGAAUGUGGCAUGUAGCGGUGAAAUGCAUAGAUAUGCCAUAGAACACCGAUUGCGAAGGCAGCCUGCUGGGCCUUUAUUGACGCUGAGGCACGAAAGCGUGGGGAGCAAACAGG
rnacentral:rRNA from 1 species